rnacentral:misc_RNA from 1 species
GUACAGUAGUGCUUGCGCACAACAAUAAUUUCAUUACAUUCGAGCGGGUGUAAAAAAUCCUCUGCCAGCCAAAGCCAGCAAGAGGCCAAAGGUUCACAGGGGUAUUGGAUGAAAAGCCGCCAACGUGCACUUGCCAGAGCUAGCUGGCCAGCACUGAAGACAACGAUUCGCAAUCAAUAAUGAUCCUUCCGCAGGUUCACCUACGGAAA